rnacentral:rRNA from 1 species
GACGAACGCUGGCGGCGUGCUUAACACAUGCAAGUCGAACGGAAAGGCCCCUUUCGGGGUCCUCGAGUGGCGCACGGGUGAGGAACACGUGAGUAACCUGCCCUUGACUUCGGGAUAACGUCAGGAAACUGGGGCUAAUACCGGUUAGGAAUCCUUGCUGCAUGGGGGGGGUUGGAAAGCUUCGGAGGUUUUGGAUGGACUGGCUGCAUAUCAGCUUGUUGGUGGGGUAGUGGCUUACCAAGGCUUUUACGGGUAGCCGGCCUGAGGGGGCGACCGGCCACAUUGGGACCUAGAGACGGCACAGACUCCGACGGGAGGCAGAAGGGGGGAAGAUUGCACAAGGGGCGGAAGCCUGAUGCAGCAAGGCCGCGGGCGGGAUGACGGUCUUCGGGUUGUAAACCGAUUGCAGCAGGGGCGAAGCUUGUGGUGACGGUACCUGCAGAAGAAGCACCGGCUAACUACGUG